rnacentral:pre_miRNA from 1 species
AUAUCUGGGGUCCUAGUAGAGUCGGUUCUACAUUGGGUGUUAAGUGUUUUGAGUAAUCAUCAUUGAAAGUAACAUACUUAAAACCCAAUGUUGAACUGACUCUACUCGGAUUCCAAAUAUCG